rnacentral:rRNA from 1 species
GAUGAACGCUGGCGGCGUGCCUAAUACAUGCAAGUCGAGCGAACAGACGAGGAGCUUGCUCCUCUGACGUUAGCGGCGGACGGGUGAGUAACACGUGGAUAACCUACCUAUAAGACUGGGAUAACUUCGGGAAACCGGAGCUAAUACCGGAUAAUAUAUUGAACCGCAUGGUUCAAUAGUGAAAGACGGUUUUGCUGUCACUUAUAGAUGGAUCCGCGCCGCAUUAGCUAGUUGGUAAGGUAACGGCUUACCAAGGCGACGAUGCGUAGCCGACCUGAGAGGGGGGUGCGCCCAACCGGGAAUUAGGAACGGUCCAGAACCCCAAGGGGGGGAAGCGGUGGGAAAUUUUCCGAAAUGGGGAAAGCCCGAAGGGGGCAACGCGCGGUGGGGAAGAAAGGCUUUGGAUUCGUAAACCCUUUUUUUUGGGAAAAAAAAAAUGGUAAGGAAACUUUCCCAGUUUUGAGGGACCUUAAUAAAAAAGCCAGGGCAAACUCGGG